rnacentral:rRNA from 1 species
GGGCUGCUCCUAGUACGAGAGGACCGGAGUGGACGCAUCACUGGUGUUCGGGUUGUCAUGCCAAUGGCACUGCCCGGUAGCUAAAUGCGGAAGAGAUAAGUGCUGAAAGCAUCUAAGCACGAAACUUUCCCCGAGAUGAGUUCUCCCUGACCCUUUAAGGGUCCUGAAGGAACGUUGAAGACGACGACGUUGAUAGGCCGGGUGUGUAAGCGCAGCGAUGCGUUGAGCUAACCGGUACUAAUGAACCGUGAGGCU